rnacentral:lncRNA from 10 species
UUAUGAAGGACUUCGUACCAGUUGGUAACACCUGCUAGCCUCCUGCUGCCCACCCCCGCUGCCGGGUCAUCCCCAGGAACCAUCCACCCCUCCAAGACAGCAGCCUGGCUCAGUUGGGGCCUUCUAGGACAUUCCCCCAGCACUAUGGCCAGUGUCCUGGCAGUACUAGUUGUUAAAUAUUUGAAUAUUUGCACUGGAUAUAUGCCUUCUUUUAAAAAGCAGUACCUAGAAGUCACAAAUUGGGCACUUGUUUUUUUAAAUCUCAUUGGCCACAGUGAAGUCCCGUGGCUGCAAGGGAGGUUGGAAUGUGUAGCUUUUAUUUUAGGUGGCCAUGUGCCCUGCUAGAAAUAAGGGGUCUCAUUAGUAACUAUCAAAUCAAGGAGAAGGGGGUGAAUGAUAUUAGAGGGUGUAGCAGACUCUGCCACAGGGGAGGCUAAAUAGGUGCUGAGAAGCACAGAGGGCUUGGUGAGCUUGGCUGCACUGUUGAGUGCUCCAUCAGUCCAGGGGAGGUGGGGGUAUAGGAGGAGAAGUCAGAGGUUGGGAAUUGGUGGGUGAUGGGAGAGGUGUCCCUGGGACAGCCUGAGCCUGCCUUGAGUGACACCUGAGGUCUCAUUCCAGGCACAAGGACAAGUGCAGGCUAGAGGGUCUGAAGCCAGAGGUCUCGAGUAGGAAGAUGCUGGAGGGAGAGAACCUGUCAUUGUUUGAGACAGGGUGAGGGGUCAAGGGAGGCUUCCAGGGCAUUAGGGGGCUCCAGGGUUGCUGUUUAGGGCACUGGAGUGGAGCCUUGGGGCCAAGCAGGUGGGCUGGGCCUCAAUGGUAGAUAUGUCUUAUCUCCUUGGCUGUCUUGGCCGGAACUUUCAGUUGUAGAAAAAGUAACAGAUGGAGGCCAUCUGGGGCCACAGGGAACAUCAUUAUUAUUAUUUGAGAUGGGGUCUUGCUCCGUUGCCCCGGCUGACAAGCAGAGGUGCACCACUGCAGCCUCAACCUCUUGGGCUCAAGCCGUCCUCCCGUCCCAUAGCCUCUGGAGUAGCUGGGAUCACAGACCUGUGUCGCCACACCUGGCUAAUUUUUGCAUUUUUUUGUAAAGACAGGGUUUCGUCAUGUUGCCCAGGAUAGUCUCCAACUCCUGGGCUCAAGUGAUCCUCUCACCUUGGCCUCCCAAAGUGCUGGGAUUACAGGCAUGAGCCACCAUGCCCGGCUGGAAAAUUAUUAAAAGGGUCUGACAGGUGGGGAUUUCAAGAGAUCUCAGACAUGAAAAUUGGGGCCUCAUGCAGAACUGAGAUCCAGAACUGGAAGGCCAUUGAGAAACCUUAAGCGUGGCUCACAUUUCUAAGGAAAAAUAUCUUUUCAGUUCCUUGAAGACUUGAGCUCCCAGAGGGUGGUAGUGGAAGGGAUUUUCUUUUCUCUUUUAAAAUUUCCUAUAUUAAUUUUGUUUUUUAAAAAUUGCAAUGUGGACAUUUCCAUGAGUGAAAUAAUGCAAGAUGAGUUAAUCCAAAGUCAGAAUUUCCCCCCUACUUCCAAUUCUCUGUUCCCCUCCUGGCUGAAAUCCUGCACUUGUGGGAGGGAGAGGGACAGGGUGGAGGGCCAUGGCUGCCCGUGCAUCCUCUCUUUGGGGUGCGGCAGGCUGCAGGAUCUUUUUUUGUUUGUUUUUGGGGUUUUUUUUUUUUUUGAGAGAGUCUCGCUCUGUCAUCCAGGCUACAGUGCAAUGGUGCGAUCUCAGCUCACUGCAACCUCUGCCUCCUGGGUUCAAGCGAUUCUCAUACCUUAGCCUCCCAGGUAGCUAGGAUUACAGGCGCAUGCCAAUACACCCAGCUAAUUUUUGUAUUUUUAGUAGAGAUGGGGUUUCACCAUGUUGGCCAGGCUGGUCUCGAUCUCCUGACCUCAAGUGGUCUGCCCGCCUCGACCUCCCAAAUUGCUGGGAUUACAGGUGUGAGCCACUGCGCCCGAUGGGAUCCAGGAUCUAGAAGCUCUCCACCAGUUCUGCCAUCCUCUCUGGGAAGACGAGGCGGAUGAAGCAGCAUAUUACUGUUGAGUUACAGGUGAGGAGAUGAAAGGCAGCAAAAGUUUCUCUCAAAAACACUGACAUAUUCCUCUAGGUAUGAAGGAGGAAUAUUUAAAAAAAAAAAAAAGGAGGGGUGUGGUGGCUCACAC